CGCUGACGUAUUAUAGGAAAUGAAAUGGAAGCGCCUUAUGGAGUGGCUGGCGGGCCUUGCACGAAAACAGUUGUAUUUUGUCCCUCCUCUUCCUGAGCCCCUGCUUGUUCGGACGGUCCCAAGCAAGCCCCAAGACCAGCAACAUUUGUGUUGAGAUGUGAAUGCUGAAGUUCAAGAUAUUGCAAGAGCAGUGCAACCCCGCUCUCCUCCAUCCCACUGCCCAAGGAAUGGUGCUAGUGAGCAGAAGAAAAGCUACAGAGACAGAAUUACUUAUCAGCAAAAUAUGAUUUCUGCAGAGUAGCCAAGUCUUGCUUGCUUUGGAGCCUAUGAGAACUUAUCCCUUGCAUUUGGCAGGGAGAAGGCCAAAGGCA
ensembl:lncRNA